CGUCGGCCCCGUUCAGGAAAGAAUAACAACAGACAUUUAUUUUUUUGAUUUCCAACAAACAUUCGCUGUGCAUCAUUCUUCCUUCGGUUGGGUUCGUUGCGGACUUUUCCCCUGGGAGCUGGGAUAAUAAAUGGAGACAGUGAGGAAAUUCUCCAUCUGAAUGCAGAAGAAGAGGGAAGUUUCUUCUUCUUCUUCUUAAACCUCUUCCCCCAAGGAGGAGGCGGCGACGGAAACUGAUAUACAUAUAAACAUGUAUAUAUAAACAAAGACCCAACGCCAUGGAUUCAGCUCCACCAACCAUAAACGAUGGAGUGGUCGCUGUCGAUCCUUUCUUGGUUGAGGCUCUUCAAAACCCUUGUCAUCGUCUCACCAUUCUGCGAAUGGAACUUGAUGUUCAGAAGUUUCUGAAGAAUUCCGACCAGCAGCAGUUUGAGUUCCAACAUUUCCCCACCUCAUACCUUCGUCUUGCGGCACACCGUGUUGCUCAACAUUAUGGUCUGCAGACUAUGGUUCAGGAUAAUGUCUCGGAUGGUCUGGGUACUAGAAUUGUGGUUAAGAAAUUGGCAGAUAGCAGAUACCCUGCAACCUGUUUAUCUGAAAUACCUGGUAAACAGUUGGAAAAUGAUAAACAUGAACCGAUUAAAAUUGUCAUGAGGCCAAGGCCUAGUAAAAUUCUCUCAGAGCAAGCCAGUGGAGAGGGAAUCAAAGGAAAUUCUGCAAGGACUGUGGAGGAGAGGAAGGAAGAGUAUGACAGGGCAAGAGCUCGAAUCUUCAGUGGAUCUAGUUUACCUUUGUCAGAAGGUUUCAUGCUUCAGGUUCCAUUAGGUACGAAGAAUAUGUGUUUGAGUGGAGAUGAGAAUGGAGGCUGCAAGAAUUCCAUGAUUGAUACAGAGAAAACCCCCAGCUUCAGGGACAGUGGUACUUCUUCCCAGGUUGCUGUUUUUAGAGACAAGGAGAAGGAUCGUAUUGACCCAGAUUAUGACCGAAAUUAUACAAGGUAUGCGAAAACUAUUAAUUAUGAAAGCUUUAAGUUGGCGCCCUUCGAUAUGCAGAAUUUUCAAGCUCCUGUGCAGUACUGCAACGGUUUUCCUCAGUUAGGUCAGAUGCGUAGAACCCAAGCUUCCAUAAACUAUAGGACACCUGUUAUGAGGCCUUUCUCUAUGGCUGGAUUAAAUCAGACAUCUGGGGAUGCCGUCUAUAUGCAGUGGCCUUCUUCUGCUAUGAUGUAUGCUCAGUCUUAUGAUCAAUUCAUGCAUGCUGUUUUUCAGGUAAAAUAUGCUGUUCAUAGACUCCCAAUUUAUUGCACCUUCUUUCAUGCCCGAGACUAUCAAGUAUAUUGUGCAUGUUGAGCACCCGACAUGCAUGCUAAUCAUGGGAUUUAACAAAAUCGGUUCUUCAAAUGUGUGCUUCUGUCGAAAUUGGUAUCUUAUGGCACAGAGAGUACAUGCUAGAUGGCAUAACCCCCAUUAUAGCUAGGAGCUGGUAUGUCUAAACUCUAGAAUCCGAACAUGUUUUGAGUCCAUGCUAUGGCCUUGAUGUUUCUAGUUCAAUGCGGGUAAAAAGCUACGUCUUGCUCAUGCGAAUGCAUUAUGGUUUAAAAAUUGUCCCAUAAGCUAAUUACAUUUAAAAAGAUGUGCUCGAAUGCGUUAUUAAUCAAUGUAAUUUAGCUGAUGGUAGGGGUUUUUAGCUGUCUCUUAGUGUGCCUUGAGCUGUUGUUACUAUUGCUGCUUCUUUUGUUGUCAGUGAAGAAGAGUUGCUGAUUUUGUUAAGUGUUUGAUACCAUUCUAAUUGUGGAAAUUAGAGGCAGAAAUGAAUUGGUUGAGAGGAAGAUGGUGUGGGGGAGGGAAGAUAUACCCGCAGAAUAAGAAAUGGUUGAAGGAGAGCCCCUCUGCAUGCGUAUGGAACCUUUUUAUGGGGUAACUUAGGGAACCAGCUCAACUGAGCACGACUCCCCUUUGCUUGGGUUGAAGGUAGUUCAACCCCUUUGGUUUGACAAUUCGAAGGUUUCUCAUCAGAAGCCUUAGGGGCAGUAGUCGGUAGCAAUGUUUUCAAAUCAGGAUACGUAUCGUGUAUCGUUUUUUCACUUGUAUAGUUCGUAUCGAGGUAUGUACCGUGUAUCUUGAGAUACGUAUUGUUGGAAGAGUAGGAGUUUCUAUUGUGUAGUUGGACAAUAUUUUUGGAAGAGGGAGAAUACUAAAGACGAAAGUGGGGAAUGAGAGUAUUUGUAUUACACUUGAACACAAACUUUUUUUUGGCUUGGUACAAAAUGGUUAGAACUAUCGCUAUUUGUACUACUCUAUGGAUGACUCUAGUACAAAGAUAUUUUCAUACAAGAUACACAUGAGACUAAUUCUCACAAAUUACUCUAGAUAUUUCACAAGGAUAUUCUAGAGCUAGAUAUUUUAGAGUUUCUAAAAACUAGAUAUUAUAUCUUUUUUGAUAAUAUCUAUCAUAUUUGGGUUUUAUCAAUUGGAGCUUUGUCAAAAUAUGAAAUUUAGUUUAUGUUUCAACAACGUUAAUCAUAAUUAAAAUAUAAUUAAGAAGUAGAUACACCUAAUAACACCAACAAACUAUGCUUACAUUUAAAAAAAAAAAAUUAAGAUGAAAAAUUUUAAAUCUCUCAACUGGGGCCUAUUACAUUAAGGCUUUAUGUUGCUUUUGUUAGAAAAGAAACAAUCGAAGUAUGGUUCUUUCUUUUAUACAAGACCUACAUUGAGGUUGAAUUUCUAUCAAAUGGUUUGAAAAAUGCCAUAAUUUGAUCAAACGGCUUAGAUUAAUGCAUUUGGAGUUCCGCUUCUUGAAAUAAGGUCCGACUUUUUUCAAAUAAGUAAUCGUAGGAUAUGUACAGAAUUAUGAUACGCGUAUAAAUCGUACGCGGUCGUAUUGAAGGAUUUUUAUACAAAAAUGAUACAUGAUGGAAUACGUAUCGUGUAUCGUGGGUUUUUAACAACUAUGGUCGGUAGGUACAAUAAGUCAAUAAGCCCCGGGGGCUAUAUCAAGAGAGCUGCAGAAGAGCUUCGGCACAGGCACCCUACUGGCAGCAGACUUUGAGUUUUGAUUACUCCCAAGACCAUUAAUGGGCAAUUAGCAGAGAAAAUUCAUGUGUAAACUGAUUCCAGUUCUCCUCACUUACAGUUGGUGUUAUGAAUAUUGUUGUUCAAGGACUUCUCUUAAACCCUACUGUUCCAAAUUCAUUUCUUUGAUAUCUUUUCUUGGUUAUGGUAAUGUUAAGUUAUGACGACUUAUUAUUA